UACAGAGGUCUCAAGCGUUGUUCGGAUUCAUUGGGCGUAAAGGGUGCGUAGGCGGCGCGGUAAGUCGGGUGUGAAAUUCGUCGGAGCUUAACUCCGAAAACUGCAUUCGAUACUGCCGUGCUUGAGGACUGGAGAGGAGACUGGAAUUUACGGUGUAGCGGUGAAAUGCGUAGAUAUCGAUAAGGAAGACCAGUGGCGAAGGCGGGUCUCUGGACAGUUCCUGACGCUGAGGCACGAAGGUCAGGGGAGCAAACGGGAUUAGAACGGUACCUCGGUAGUCCAAGACCAAGUCUCGUACC
rnacentral:rRNA from 1 species